rnacentral:rRNA from 1 species
UGGGGGAUAUUGCACAAUGGGCGAAAGCCUGAUGCAGCGACGCCGCGUGGGGGAUGAAGGCUUUCGGGUUGUAAACCUCUUUCGCUAUCGAACAAGGCCCGCUUAGGGUGGGUUGAGGGUAGGUGGAGAAGAAGCGCCGGCUAACUACGUGCCAGCAGCCGCGGUAAUACGUAGGGCGCGAGCGUUGUCCGGAAUUAUUGGGCGUAAAGGGCUUGUAGGCGGCUUGUUGCGCCUGCUGUGAAAACGCGGGGCUUAACUUCGCGCGUGCAGUGGGUACGGGCAGGCUUGAGUGUGGUAGGGGUGACUGGAAUUCCAGGUGUAGCGGUGGAAUGCGCAGAUAUCUGGAGGAACCCCGAUGGCGAAGGCAGGUCACUGGGCCAUUACUGACGCUGAGGAGCGAAAGCAUGGGUAGCGAACAGG